AAAAAAAAAAAAAAAAAACCUGCAGAAUUCUUGAUACACCUCGUAGACACCUCUUUCAUGUGCUCCCAAUAGAAAUAUAAUGCUUACCCUGAGAGGUCCUUUAACAUGUUCCUUUAGCUUUUUUAAAGUAAAAGGUGAAAUUUUAUUUUUUGUCUAAUAGAUCCAAAAAUUAUCAUUUGAACAUGUAGCUAAUCUAAAAAAUUUUAGGCAUUCUCAUUGUGGGAACAAACCUGAGUAGGAUCCAUGAGGAUGCAGGUUCGAUCCCUGGCCUUGCUCAGUGGGUUAAGGAUCCAGCGUUGCUGUGAGCUGUGGUGUAGGUCACAGGUGCGGCUUAGAUGCCAUGUUGCUGUGGCUGUGGUGUAGGCUGGCAGCUGUAGCUCCGAUUGGACCUCCAGCCUGGAAACUUCCAUAUGCCACAUUAUUUUGUAGGUGUGGCCCUACAAAGCAAAAAAAAAAAAAAAAAAAAAAAAAAAAUUAAUGAUGCGUGUUCCAUUUCAAAAUUCUUCCUAAGUCUUUGAAAUCUGGCAUUCAUUUCACACUUUCACAAUACAGCUCAAUCCAGAGUAGCCACAUUUCAAGGGCUUAAUAGCCUCUUGUGUCUAGUAGCUACUGUGUUGUACAUCUGGUUUCAGCUGUUAUUCCUCUGCCAUUUCUCAACAUUUGAGAGCCUUUCUCUUAUGCCACCUGGUUUUCAUAAUCUUUGCUGUGACCACUGAGCAUUUUUUGGGAAUUAUAGUAGCAUCAACUGCUAGACGGAUUCCUCCUAUUCCUUUCCUUGUCAUCAUCUUUGAAUGUUCUGUGCUCUUACCAUCCCCUAGUGUCUUAGCUCAUCUCCGCCUCACUCAUCCCAUCGUCUCCAUUCUUUGAGCCUUAGUAGCACCCCAGAAUCCCCCAGUGCCCACAAUUCCUUUCUUUGAGUACAGUUCCUCACAUUCUCUUGUUACCUAUCAUUGUACUUUCAGUCGUUUUGAAUUGGGGGGGAUCAUUUUCGCAGUUAUUUCGGGUAUGAGCCUGUGAAUUACCUAAACUGCUAUGCCUAUUAGAUCUCAGAAAAUCGAGAUCCAUUGGUCCACCUGUGAAAUAUUUAUUGAGCACAUACUAUGUAUGUGCCAUUCACUUUAUUAGAUGCUGAAGAUAAAGCAGUGGACUCACAGGAAAGAUCCUUGCCUUUACAGAGCUUACAUUCUGUUGAGCAAAUAGAUGAGAAGCCUUUGUCAUAUAGAGUAUGUUAGUUAAUGAUAAAUGUCAUGGAAUAAAAUAAAGCAGGGAAAGGGGUGGCCAAGUGUUGGGGGUAGGGAUUGACAUUGUAGAUAACAUGGCCAGCGAGGAUCGACAGGGAAGUGACAUUUGUGCAGAAAAGCCUUGGGGAAGUUGGGCAGUGGGUCAUGCAGAUCUGGGAGGAGUGUGCCAGAAGAGGGAACAGCAAAUACUAAGGCCUCAAACCUACCUGCCAGUUUGCUAAUAAGAGAAGCCUGUUGAGGAAAAUCAUCCAGGGAAAAACACCGUCAUUGGCUUCUCCAAACUGAGUCCUAAUGAGAACAGUACAGAGAUGGGAAGGGGCAGAAGUCACCACUGAGUCCAGCCUUUUCAUUUACCGAGGAGAAAACGGACACUCGGAACAGUUAUGUGGCUCCUCCAAGACCACAGAGCUAUUUAAGUGGCAGACUUGACCCUGAAUCUAGGCUUGACAUUUUAUAUUUUUACAAUUUUUGUCUUUUUUUUUUUUUUUGAGGAACCUAUAUAUAUUUCUUUUUUUAACAGAAUAAAAUACAUAUAUUUAAACACAGUUACAUUCACAUGGAUUAUUAUAUCAUGGAUCUUAAGAAAGAGAUUAAGUGACUCCCUCUGGAGAAGUGGAAUGGAAAAUAUGCUGAGACAAAUAGGAAAUCUAUUCUAUACUUUAUCCCAUGUUGUAUGGCUUUCAUCUUUACUAUUUAGUAUUAUCUAUUACAUUUCAAUUUUUCUUUAAAAAUUAGCAUUAUAUUAAAAUUGUAUAUAUUAUGCAAAUAAAACUUAUAAAGAAGAAAGCCUUAUAUAUCAUUAAAUAUUUUAUAUAGCAUAAUAAAAAGAAUAACUGGUAAGAAUAACAAAAAUAAUACACUCUCUGAAAAUAAGUAAAAUAUAAAAUGCAUAAAUUGGUUAAAAAACAGUGUAACUAUAUAAAUAUGUCCUCACAAUUUGUUACAUCUUAUUGAUUCUUCAUAUAGGCAUUACACCAUUCUAGGUGAUGUGAUAAACAAGACAUUAUAGACCUUAUAUUGUACCAUGGAGAGAAAUGGUUAUUAAUAAUACAAUUGUAGAACUGUAUUAUUUAAUUGUACAGUUGCAUCAUUUAAUUAUAAUUAUCAUAAAUUCUUUGAUGGAGAGGAAAUCAGAAUCAGAUCUAAGAAGACUUCAGCAUUCCAAGAAUCAUGUCAAAUGACCCCCUUCACAGUGGAUUAUGCACUUAUUUACUAUGAGAUAUAUUUCUUCUCAAGAGAUUCCUUGUUUGUGUAUCAACUGUAGAUUUUUGGUUUGCAGUUAUUCUGAAGUUUUGAUAGAAGAGUCUAUAUAUAUAUGAGAUUGUUUUAAGUUGUUGUUCUCUUAAUUGCAAGUUCAUCUCCAGUGUCCUGCAUUUGUACCCACCUCAUCUCAUGAUUUCUGAUUUUGGUGGUAUAAUUGUGCAUGGAUGAUUUCAUAUCUUUACUGUAUAUAUACCUUUACUGGUGAGCCUUGUCAUUUGUGGAAUUUUUGUUCCCUGAUGCGGGCUUUUCUUUUCUGUCUAGAGAAGUUCCUUUAGUAUUUGUUGUAAGGCUGGUUUAGUGUUGCUGAAUUCUCUCAGCUUUUGCUUAUCUGAGAAGGUUUGAUGUCUCCUUCAAAUCUAAAUGAGAGCUUUGCUGGGUAGAUUAAUCUUGGUUGGAGGUUUUUUCCUUUCAUCACGUGAAGUAUAUCAUGCCACUCCCUUCUGGCCUGCAGAGUUUCUGCUGAAAAAUCUGCCGAUAACCUUAUCGGGGUUCCCUUGUAUGUUACUUGUUUCUUUUCCCUAGCUGCUUUCAAGAUUUUCUCUUUGUCUUUCAUUUGGGUCAGUUUGAUUAAUAUGUGUCUUGGUGUAUUCCUCCUUGGGUUUAUUUUAUAUGGUACUCGUUGUGCUUCCUGGAUUUGAGUGAGUGGUUCCUUUCCCAUGUGAGGGAAGUUUUUGGCUAUUAUCUCUUGGAAUAUUUUUUCUGUCCCCUUCUCUCUCUCUUCUCCUUCUGGCACCCCUAUAAUAGGGAUGUUGGUGUGUUUCACGUUGUCCCAGAGUUCUCUGAGACUGUCUUCAUUUGUUUUCAAUCUUUUUUCUCUUUUCUAUUCUGCUUCCGUAAUUUCCACUCAUCUGUCCUCCACCUCGCUUAGUGUUCUUCUGCCUCCUGUAUUUUGCAGUUAGCUGCUUCUAGUGAAUUUUUUAUUUCAGUUAUUGUAUUUUGCGUCUCUUCUUGUUUAAGUUUGAUAUCUUGUAUCUCUUUGCUCAGUGUUUCCUGUAAGUUAUCCAUCUUUGCCUCCAGUUUAUUUCCAAUGUCUUGCAUCAUCUUCAGCAUCAACAAUCUAAAGUCUUUUUCCUGGAGGCUGAGAAUCUCCUCAUCGCUUAGCUGACUUUCUGGGAUUUUUCCUUUUUCCCUCAUCUGAGUUAUAGUUUUCUUCCUUUUCAUUAUUAUAGGUUUUUGGUGUGUGACCUUUUACAGAUAAUAGAGCUGUAGCCUCUCUUACUUCUGGUGUCUGCCCCCCUUGUGGCUGAAGUCAGUAUGGGGGCUUGCUGUAGGCUUCCUGAUGGGAGGGGCUGAUGCCUACCCCCUGGUAGGUGGAGCCUAUUCUAAUCCCUCUGGUGGGUGGGUCUUAGUCUCUGGAUGGGAUUAGAGGCAGCUGAGUGCCUGAGGGGUCUUUAGGUAGCCUGUUUACUGAGGGGUGGGGCUGUGAUCCCACCUGAAUUGUUGUUUGCCCUGGGGCUUCUCAGAACUGACUGAUGGGUGGGGCCAGAUUUUCCGAAAAUGGCCACCUCCAGAGAAAGGCAGCUGCUGAAUAUUCCUAGAGCUUUGCCUUCAAUGUCCCUCCCUCACAACAAGCCACAUUCACCCCUGUUUUCCCAGGAUGUCCUCCAGGAACUGCAGUUAGGUUUGACCCAGAUUCCCAUGGAGCCUUUGCUCUGCCCUAGGACCCAGUGCAUGUGAAAGUCCGUGUGCGCCUUUUAAGAAUGGGGUCUCCAUUUCCCCCAGUCCUGUGGAGCUCCUGCACACAAGCCCCACUGGCCUUCAAUGCCAGAUGCUCCAGGGGCUCCUUCUCCCAGUUCUGGAUCCCUGCACAUGAGGGUUUGAUGUGGGGCUCAGAACUCUCACUCCUAUAGGUGAGUCUCUGUGAACCAGUUGGUUUUCAGUCUGUGGAGCUUCCCACCCCGGAUGUAUGGGGUUGUUUAUAUCACGAAAUUGCCCCUCCUACCUCUUGAUGUGGCCUCCUCUUUUUCUACUGGAGUAGGGUAUCUUUUUUAAGGUUUCCGGUCCAUUUGGGUGGAGAUUGCUCAGCCUUUAGUUGUGAAUUUUGUUGUUUUUAGGAGAGAAGUUGAGCUCCAGUCCUUCUAUUCCGCCAUCUUAAUCCUCUCUCCACAAUUUUUGUCUUUUUAGGGCCGCACCUUUAGCACAUGGAGAUUCCCAGGCUAAGGGUCCAAUCAGAGCUGUAGCCGCCAGCCUAGCCACAGCCACAGCAACGUGGGAUCCGAGCUGCAUCUGUUAUGUAUACUACAGCUCAUAGCAAUGCUGGAUCCUUAACCCACUGAGCAAGGCCAGUGAUCGAACCUGUGUCCUCAUGGUUACUAAUUCGGUUUGUUACCACCGAGCCAUGACGAGAACUCCUUGACAUUUUAUCUUGCUGAAUAAAACAUGGCCAUUGUGUGGUUACUGUGGUACAGCAGUGUUCUAUUGCAACUGCCUCCUGGAGAUUCCACAGGGUGAGGGCAGAGUCCCCUACAAGACUGCCCCCACUUCAGAUGACACCUACAAGUUUUGAGGAGGGGGAGGUGUCUUCAGGCCACCUACACUUCUGACCAGCUGACUAUAUGUAAAUUCGGGUUUCCUAUAACCCCCUCAGGUUUAAUAAUUCCCUAAAAUGACCCACAGAACUGAGGAAGGCACUAAUGUUUACAGUUUUAUUAUAAAUGAUACAAAUCAGAACCAGCCAAAUGAAGAGACAGAUAGGACAAGGUCUGGAAGGGUCUUGAACACAGAGCUUCUUCCACUGCUCUCUCCUUAAAAUCAGGAGACAAUGCCUUCCAGGGACUUUAAUUUGUUCCUCCAUCAGGAACCUCACCAGAGCCUUGGUAUCGGAGUUUUUAAUUGGGGUUUCAUUGCAUAGGCAUGAUUUAUUGAAUCAUUGGCUAAAUAGUUGAAUUCAAUCCUUAAUCCCAUUUCUCUCUCCAGAGGUCAGGCUGAUGUCACAAGACUCAAAGUCCCACCCUUCUAAUCCCAGGGUUGCUCUUUUUAGCACUGCUGGCCCCCUCCUGAAACUGGCUGGGGACCCCCUUUGAGUUCUUCAUUUGCCUAAAUUCAGGUGUAGUCUGAGGACCUACAGUAAAUAACAAAGAUACUCCUUUCCCUCAGGCAGUUCCAAGUUUGGAAGCUCCUUUCCAGGAACCCAGGACAAAAGCCUUUUUAAGUCAUAUGACAUACUAAUUUAAUUUAUUACACAACAGACAAAUUCAAAACCUGUUGGGCUUAGGAAUUUUACCACAAAGAUAGCUGGCUCAGAGAUAAGACAGUAGCAAGUAAAUGGGACUAAAAAAAUCCUAACUGUGAAAGUAAUCUCCAUAGACAAAGCUUAAGUUUCAUCUUUUUUUUUAGAGGGGCAGCUGCUAAGGGUAGAAAAGAACCAUAAAGGAAAACACAGUUGACUCUUGUUUUUCGUCUAGGCCCCUUCUGGGGAACAUGGCACCGCAGAUAGAUUUAAAUUGCUCAGGAUAAAGUUGAUGUCACCUGCUCUUUGGCUUGAGGGCUUUAGCAAUUCCCUGGUCAUUAUUACCUCAUAGGUGAAGGAAGAGCUUUGCUAAGGAAGUGCUUUCAGGUGUCCCCUGGGCAGACGUUAAAUCUCACAACAGGUAUUUGUUCAGUUGCUCUACUGUGUUUUCCUGCACCAACUUCCAUGAUCCCUGCAGGAUUUUUCAAGUUUCAAACAAGCAUUUAUGUGUGUUUAAUAUCUAGUUAAAACAAAAAGCUAAAUAGGAGUUCCCGUCAUGGCUCAGUGGUUAAUGAAUCCGACUAGGAACCAUGAGGUUUCGGGUUCAGUCCCUGCCCUUGCUCAGUGGGUUAACAAUCCGGCAUUGCCGUGAGCUGUGGUGUGGGUUGCAGAUGCGCCUCGGAUCCCACGUUGCUGUGGCUUUGGUUUAGGCUGGUGGCUGCAGCUCCGAUUCAACCCCUAGCCUGGGAACCUCCAUGUGCCACGGGAGCGGCCCAAGAAAU
rnacentral:lncRNA from 1 species